AGCAGCCGCGGUAAUUCCAGCUCCAAUAGCGUAUAUUAAAGUUGUUGCAGUUAAAAGCUCGUAGUUGAAUUUCGGGGUUAGUAGGUUGGUCAUGCCUCUGGUAUGUACUGGUCUCACUGAUUCCUCCUUCCUGAUGAGCCGUAAUGCCAUUAAUUUGGUGUUGCGGGGAAUUUGGACUGUUACUUUGAAAAAAUUAGAGUGUUUAAAGCAAGCUAACGCUUGAAUACAUUAGCAUGGAAUAAUGAAAUAGGACGUUCGAUCCUAUUUUGUUGGUUCUAGGAUUGACGUAAUGAUUAAUAGGGAUAGUUGGGGGCAUUAGUAUUCAAUUGUCAGAGGUGAAAUUCUUGGAUUUAUUGAAGACUAACUACUGCGAAAGCAUUUGCCAAGGAUGUUUUCAUUAAUCAAGAACGAAAGUUAGGGGAUCGAAGACGAUCAGAUACCGUCGUAGUCUUAACCAUAAACUAUGCCGACUAGGGAUCGGAUGAUGUUAAUUUUUUCAAUGACUCAUUCGGCGCCUUAC
rnacentral:rRNA from 1 species